GAUGAACGCUAGCUACAGGCUUAACACAUGCAAGUCGAGGGGAAACGGCAUCGAAAGCUUGCUUUUGAUGGGCGUCGACCGGCGCACGGGUGAGUAACGCGUAUCCAACCUGCCCAUCACUUGGGAAUAACCUUGCGAAAGUAAGACUAAUGCCCAAUGACAUCCCACGAAGGCAUCCGAAUGGGACUAAGGAUUUAUCGGUGAUGGAUGGGGAUGUGUCUGAUUAGCUUGUUGGCGAGGUGACGGCCCACCAAGGCAACGAUCAGUAGGGGUUCUGAGAGGAACGUCCCCGACAGGGGAACUGGCACACGUUCCAAACACCUACGGGAGGGAGCAGUGAGGAAGAUUGGUCAAGGGGCGAGAGCCUGAACCAGCCAAGUAUCGUGCAGGAUGGCGGCCCUAUGGGUUGUAAACUGCUUUUAGAAGGGAGUAAAGUGGGUCACGUGUGACUUUUUGCAUGUACCUUAUGAAUAAGGACCGGCUAAUUCCGUG
rnacentral:rRNA from 1 species